CCUACGGGUGGCAGCAGUGAGGAAUAUUGGUCAAUGGACGAGAGUCUGAACCAGCCAAGUAGCGUGAAGGAUGACUGCCCUAUGGGUUGUAAACUUCUUUUAUAUGGGAAUAAAAUGUUCCACGUGUGGGAUUUUGUAUGUACCAUAUGAAUAAGGAUCGGCUAACUCCGUGCCAGCAGCCGCGGUAAUACGGAGGAUCCGAGCGUUAUCCGGAUUUAUUGGGUGUAAAGGGAGCGUAGGUGGAUUGUUAAGUCAGUUGUGAAAGUUUGCGGCUCAACCGUAAAAUUGCAGUUGAAACUGGCAGUCUUGAGUACAGUAGAGGUGGGCGGAAUUCGUGGUGUAGCGGUGAAAUGCUUAGAUAUCACGAAGAACUCCGAUUGCGAAGGCAGUUCACUGGACUGCAACUGACACUGAGGCUCGAAAGUGUGGGUAUCAAACAGGAUUAGAUACCCUUGUAGUC
rnacentral:rRNA from 1 species